rnacentral:rRNA from 1 species
GCGCAAGCCUGAUCCAGCCAUGCCGCGUGAGUGAUGAAGGCCCUAGGGUUGUAAAGCUCUUUCACCGGUGAAGAUAAUGACGGUAACCGGAGAAGAAGCCCCGGCUAACUUCGUGCCAGCAGCCGCGGUAAUACGAAGGGGGCUAGCGUUGUUCGGAUUUACUGGGCGUAAAGCGCACGUAGGCGGGCUAAUAAGUCAGGGGUGAAAUCCCGGGGCUCAACCCCGGAACUGCCUUUGAUACUGUUAGUCUUGAGUAUGGUAGAGGUGAGUGGAAUUCCAAGGGUAAGGUGAAAUUCGUAUAUAUUCGGAGGAAC